CCUACGGGAGGCUGCAGUGGGGGAUAUUGCACAAUGGGGGAAACCCUGAUGCAGCGACACCGCGUGUGGGAAGACGGUCCUCUGGAUUGUAAACCACUGUCCCCAGGGACGAAGAUGACGGUACCUGGGGAGGAAGCCCCGGCUAACUACGUGCCAGCAGCCGCGGUAAUAGGUAGGGAGCGAGCGUGGUCCGGAAUUACUGGGUGUAAGGGGAGCGGAGGCGGGACUGCAAGUCGUGUGUCAAAUCUACCGGCUCAACCGGUAGCCGCACUCCAAACUGCAGUUCUUGAGUGAAGUAGCGGCAGGCGGAAUUCCUAGUGUAGCGGUGAAAUGCGUAGAUAUUAGGAGGAACACCAGUGGCGAAGGCGGCCUGCUGGGCUUUUACUGACGCUGAGGCUCGAAAGUGUGGGGAGCAAACAGGAUUAGAUACCCCAGUAGUC
rnacentral:rRNA from 1 species